GCGUAGUCCCAGUCCCUGGGGUAGGCGCUGCCACCGCAGAUGAUGAGCUUGGGGCGAAAGUCGAGGGCCUUCUCCUCGAGCUUCUCAUAGUCGAUGUAACCGGUCACAGGGCUGACCUUGUAGGGCAAGCUCUCGAAGUAGAUGGAGGUAGCGGAGAUCUUCUUGCCACCGGAGGUGUAGUAGCCGUGAGUGAGGUGGCCACCGGAAGGGAGAUCGAGGCCCAUGAUGCGGUCGUGAGGGUUGAGGAUGGCGGUGUAGGCGGCGAAGUUAGCCGGGCUGCCGGAGUACGGCUGGACGUUGACGCCCCACUUGGCGGGGUCGAGGCGGUAGGCGGAGAGGGCAC
rnacentral:lncRNA from 1 species